rnacentral:rRNA from 1 species
GACGAACGCUGGCGGCGUGCUUAACACAUGCAAGUCGAACGAAGAGCGAUGGAAGCUUGCUUCUAUCAAUCUUAGUGGCGAACGGGUGAGUAACGCGUAAUCAACCUGCCCUUCAGAGGGGGACAACAGUUGGAAACGACUGCUAAUACCGCAUACGAUCUAACCUCGGCAUCGAGGAUGGAUGAAAGGUGGCCUCUAUUUAUAAGCUAUCACUGAAGGAGGGGAUUGCGUCUGAUUAGCUAGUUGGAGGGGUAACGGCCCACCAAGGCGUUGAUCAGUAGCCGGUCUGAGAGGAUGAACGGCCACAUUGGGACUGAGACACGGCCCAGACUCCUACGGGAGGCAGCAGUGGGGAAUCUUCCGCAAUGGACGAAAGUCUGACGGAGCAACGCCGCGUGAGUGAUGACGGCCUUCGGGUUGUAAAGCUCUGUUAAUCGGGACGAAAGGCCUUCUUGCGAAUAGUUAGAAGGAUUGACGGUACCGGAAUAGAAAGCCACGGCUAACUACGUG